UGUGUUUGUGCAGCUUUACAGAGUCCUUAACAGUUGCUUCGACCAAAAGGGCUCAUAAUGUUUAUUUAACAAGAGACCCUGAGGGAGGCAGCUCAUCCGUGUCAUCGAGGACUUGUCUCCUGUCUUUUGCCUCUGUCUUCCUCAGUCUUCUUUUCGUGCUGUGUUGCCUCUUUAUCUGCCCAAGAUGUCUCUAGCUGGUCCAGGGAUCAAGAUGGGAUUAAGGGACCAAGCCAUUCAGCUCUACCUUCCUGCCUGUAGCCUUCACCAGGGAAUCAAAAGCUUCCUCAGAAAUGCCUCCUCAUGUUUCCUUUGUCACAACUGGAUUGCAUGGUGUCUUCCAGCUGCAGGGGAUACUGGGAAAACAAAAUGUGUGUUAGCACCAAAUGGAUGGAUAUCAUUAAGUGAUGACCAGAUGGCCCAUGCCAAUGAACUUCUCAGAAGCACUAUUAACCAUGGGAGUGCAUUUGCUUUUGCCUUAAAAUAUAUAAUUUGAAAAAUAUGUAUUGUUCAUUAUUUAGGAAGCUAAAGGUAAACAUUGGACACUGUUAGUAUUCCAGUCAAUUAGAGGAUGCUGUCAAAACAACAUUUUAAAAAUUACAAAGACUGGGGCGCCUGGCUGGCUCAGUUGG